rnacentral:rRNA from 1 species
GAUGAACGCUGGCGGCGUGCCUAACACAUGCAAGUCGAACGGUGAAACCGCCCUCGGGCGGACAUGAAGUGGCGAACGGGUGAGUAACACGUGACCAACCUGCCCCUUGCUCCGGGACAACCUUGGGAAACCGAGGCUAAUACCGGAUACUCCUCGCCCCCCUCCUGGGGGGCCCGGGAAAGCCCAGACGGCAAGGGAUGGGGUCGCGGCCCAUUAGGUAGUAGGCGGGGUAACGGCCCACCUAGCCCGCGAUGGGUAGCCGGGUUGAGAGACCGACCGGCCACAUUGGGACUGAGAUACGGCCCAGACUCCUACGGGAGGCAGCAGUGGGGAAUUUUGCGCAAUGGGGGCAACCCUGACGCAGCAACGCCGCGUGCGGGACGACGGCCUUCGGGUUGUAAACCGCUUUCAGCAGGGAAGAAAUUCGACGGU